CCUACGGGAGGCAGCAGUGGGGGAUAUUGCACAAUGGGGGAAACCCUGAUGCAGCGACGCCGCGUGUGGGAAGACGGUCCUCUGGAUUGUAAACCACUGUCCCCAGGGACGAAGAUGACGGUACCUGGGGAGGAAGCUCCGGCCAACUACGUGCCAGCAGCCGCGGUAAUACGGAGGGAGCGAGCGUUGUCCGGAAUUACUGGGUGUAAAGGGAGCGUAGGCGGGUCUGCAAGUUGGGGGUCAAAUCUACCGGCUCAACCGGUAGCAGCACGCGAAACUGCAGUUCUUGAGUGAGGUAGAGGCAGGCGGAAUUCGUGGUGUAGCGGUGAAAUGCGUAGAUAUUAGGAAGAACCCCGGUGGCGAUGGCAGCCUGCUGGGCUUUUACUGACGCUGAGGCUCGAAAGUGUGGGGAGCGAACAGGAUUAGAUACCCUUGUAGUC
rnacentral:rRNA from 1 species